rnacentral:tmRNA from 1 species
GGGGGUGCACUGGUUUCGACGGAGGUUAUGAAGUCGCUUGGUGCAUGCCGAGGGGGUAGCUUUCCUCGUAAAUCCAGCUGCAAAACUCUAGUUGCCAACGACGACAACUACGCUCUCGCCGCUUAAGGCGUAAGCCCCGAACCCACUUGUGCCCGUGCUCGUGGAUGUAGGGUCAUUAUCACGGAACCGGCUGUGACGGCUGCCUGUCAGUCAUGGCUUAACCAAAACAGGCUGGUCCUGGGGUGCGCUUGGCACACCGUGCUGCCACAGGACGAGACCCAACGGUGAGCUAAGCAUGUAGUACCGGGGAUGGAGUGCUUUCGGACGGCGGUUCAAUUCCGCCCACCUCCACCA